rnacentral:rRNA from 1 species
CACUAGAAGCCGAUGAAGGACGUUACUAACGACGAUAUGCUUUGGGGAGCUGUAAGUAAGCUUUGAUCCAGAGAUUUCCGAAUGGGGAAACCCAGCAUGAGUUAUGUCAUGUUAUCGAUAUGUGAAUACAUAGCAUAUCAGAAGGCACACCCGGAGAACUGAAACAUCUUAGUACCCGGAGGAAGAGAAAGAAAAUUCGAUUCCCUUAGUAGCGGCGAGCGAAACGGGAAGAGCCCAAACCAACAAGCUUGCUUGUUGGGGUUGUAGGACACUCUAUACGGAGUUACAAAGGACGACAUUAGACGAAUCAUCUGGAAAGAUGAAUCAAAGAAGGUAAUAAUCCUGUAGUCGAAAAUGUUGUCUCUCUUGAGUGGAUCCUGAGUACGACGGAGCACGUGAAAUUCCGUCGGAAUCUGGGAGGACCAUCUCCUAAGGCUAAAUACUCUCUAGUGACCGAUAGUGAACCAGUACCGUGAGGGAAAGGUGAAAAGCACCCCGGAAGGGGAGUGAAAUAGAACCUGAAACCGUGUGCUUACAAGUAGUCAGAGCCCGUUAAUGGGUGAUGGCGUGCCUUUUGUAGAAUGAACCGGCGAGUUACGAUUUGAUGCAAGGUUAAGCAGUAAAUGUGGAGCCGUAGCGAAAGCGAGUCUGAAUAGGGCGUUUAGUAUUUGGUCGUAGACCCGAAACCAGGUGAUCUACCCUUGGUCAGGUUGAAGUUCAGGUAACACUGAAUGGAGGACCGAACCGACUUACGUUGAAAAGUGAGCGGAUGAACUGAGGGUAGCGGAGAAAUUCCAAUCGAACCUGGAGAUAGCUGGUUCUCUCCGAAAUAGCUUUAGGGCUAGCCUCAAGUGAUGAUUAUUGGAGGUAGAGCACUGUUUGGACGAGGGGCCCCUCUCGGGUUACCGAAUUCAGACAAACUCCGAAUGCCAAUUAAUUUAACUUGGGAGUCAGAACAUGGGUGAUAAGGUCCGUGUUCGAAAGGGAAACAGCCCAGACCACCAGCUAAGGUCCCAAAAUAUAUGUUAAGUGGAAAAGGAUGUGGCGUUGCCCAGACAACUAGGAUGUUGGCUUAGAAGCAGCCAUCAUUUAAAGAGUGCGUAAUAGCUCACUAGUCGAGUGACACUGCGCCGAAAAUGUACCGGGGCUAAACAUAUUACCGAAGCUGUGGAUUGUCCUUUGGACAAUGGUAGGAGAGCGUUCUAAGGGCGUUGAAGCAUGAUCGUAAGGACAUGUGGAGCGCUUAGAAGUGAGAAUGCCGGUGUGAGUAGCGAAAGACGGGUGAGAAUCCCGUCCACCGAUUGACUAAGGUUUCCAGAGGAAGGCUCGUCCGCUCUGGGUUAGUCGGGUCCUAAGCUGAGGCCGACAGGCGUAGGCGAUGGAUAACAGGUUGAUAUUCCUGUACCACCUAUAAUCGUUUUAAUCGAUGGGGGGACGCAGUAGGAUAGGCGAAGCGUGCGAUUGGAUUGCACGUCUAAGCAGUAAGGCUGAGUAUUAGGCAAAUCCGGUACUCGUUAAGGCUGAGCUGUGAUGGGGAGAAGACAUUGUGUCUUCGAGUCGUUGAUUUCACACUGCCGAGAAAAGCCUCUAGAUAGAAAAUAGGUGCCCGUACCGCAAACCGACACAGGUAGUCAAGAUGAGAAUUCUAAGGUGAGCGAGCGAACUCUCGUUAAGGAACUCGGCAAAAUGACCCCGUAACUUCGGGAGAAGGGGUGCUCUUUAGGGUUAACGCCCAGAAGAGCCGCAGUGAAUAGGCCCAAGCGACUGUUUAUCAAAAACACAGGUCUCUGCUAAACCGUAAGGUGAUGUAUAGGGGCUGACGCCUGCCCGGUGCUGGAAGGUUAAGAGGAGUGGUUAGCUUCUGCGAAGCUACGAAUCGAAGCCCCAGUAAACGGCGGCCGUAACUAUAACGGUCCUAAGGUAGCGAAAUUCCUUGUCGGGUAAGUUCCGACCCGCACGAAAGGCGUAACGAUUUGGGCACUGUCUCAACGAGAGACUCGGUGAAAUCAUAGUACCUGUGAAGAUGCAGGUUACCCGCGACAGGACGGAAAGACCCCGUGGAGCUUUACUGUAGCCUGAUAUUGAAAUUCGGCACAGCUUGUACAGGAUAGGUAGGAGCCUUUGAAACGUGAGCGCUAGCUUACGUGGAGGCGCUGGUGGGAUACUACCCUAGCUGUGUUGGCUUUCUAACCCGCACCACUUAUCGUGGUGGGAGACAGUGUCAGGCGGGCAGUUUGACUGGGGCGGUCGCCUCCUAAAAGGUAACGGAGGCGCUCAAAGGUUCCCUCAGAAUGGUUGGAAAUCAUUCAUAGAGUGUAAAGGCAUAAGGGAGCUUGACUGCGAGACCUACAAGUCGAGCAGGGUCGAAAGACGGACUUAGUGAUCCGGUGGUUCCGCAUGGAAGGGCCAUCGCUCAACGGAUAAAAGCUACCCCGGGGAUAACAGGCUUAUCUCCCCCAAGAGUUCACAUCGACGGGGAGGUUUGGCACCUCGAUGUCGGCUCAUCGCAUCCUGGGGCUGUAGUCGGUCCCAAGGGUUGGGCUGUUCGCCCAUUAAAGCGGUACGCGAGCUGGGUUCAGAACGUCGUGAGACAGUUCGGUCCCUAUCCGUCGUGGGCGUAGGAAAUUUGAGAGGAGCUGUCCUUAGUACGAGAGGACCGGGAUGGACAUACCUCUGGUGUACCAGUUGUCGUGCCAACGGCAUAGCUGGGUAGCUAUGUGUGGACGGGAUAAGUGCUGAAAGCAUCUAAGCAUGAAGCCCCCCUCAAGAUGAGAUUUCCCAACUUCGGUUAUAAGAUCCCUCAAAGAUGAUGAGGUUAAUAGGUUCGAGGUGGAAGCAUGGUGACAUGUGGAGCUGACGAAUACUAAUCGAUCGAAGACUUAAUCAA